GACAGAGGUGCCGAGCGUUAGGCGGAAUCACUGGGCUUAAAGCGUGUGUAGGCGGGUCGUUAAGUGUCUUGUGAAAUCCCACCGCUCAACGGUGGAACUGCCUUUGAUACUGGGGGAUCUUGAGUCCGGGAGAGGUGAGUGGAACUGCGAGUGUAGAGGUGAAAUUCGUAGAUAUUCGCAAGAACACCAGUGGCGAAGGCGGCUUGCCAGAACGCGCUCGACGGUGAGGGAUGAAAGCUGGGGGGAGCAAACCGG
rnacentral:rRNA from 1 species